UACGAAGGGUGCAAGCGUUAAUCGGAAUUACUGGGCGUAAAGCGCGCGUAGGUGGUUUGUUAAGUUGGAUGUGAAAUCCCCGGGCUCAACCUGGGAACUGCUUUCAAAACUGCUGAGCUAGAGUACGGUAGAGGGUGGUGGAAUUUCCUGUGUAGCGGUGAAAUGCGUAGAUAUAGGAAGGAACACCAGUGGCGAAGGCGACCACCUGGACUGAUACUGACACUGAGGUGCGAAAGCGUGGGGAGCAAACAGG
rnacentral:rRNA from 1 species